CCCUUAGAUGUUCUGGGCUGCACACGUGCUACACUGGCCGGUUCAGCGAGCUUCAUGCCCUGAUCUGAAAGGAAUGGGAAAUCUUUUCAAAACCUGCCGUGCUUGGGAUAGAUGUUUGCAAUUAUUCAUCUUCAACGAGGAUUGCCUUGUAAGCGCACGUCAUCAGCGUGCAUUGAAUACGACCCUGUAUUCUGUACACACCGCCCGUCGCUCCUACCGAUUGAAGUUUUCGGUGAGUUGACAGGAGGAUUUUUUUGAAACUGGUUCGCCAGUGGAUUUUAGAUCCAAAUGCCAACGAAUCGAUGGCUUUAGAGGAAGGAGAAGUCGUAACA
rnacentral:rRNA from 1 species